AACAACUCGGGCAUUUUUAAUGCUUCGAAUUUGCAAUGGGAACAAUCUAAAUCACUUAUCGAGGAACAAUUGGAGGGCAAGUCUGGUGCCAGCAGCCGCGGUAAUUCCUUAGCUCCAAUAGCGUAUAUUAAAGUUGUUGCAGUUAAAAAGCUCGUAGUUGAAUUUCUGAUUAUGAAUGUACUGGGUAACCGGUCCAUUUAUAGUCAUCCACAUGAGAACCUUUCUCGGCCUUCACUGGUCGGUUGGGGGAUCAUGUACUUUACUUUGAAAAAUCAGAGUGUUUCAGGCAGGCGUUUGCAUGAAUACACAAGCAUGGAAUAAUGGAAUAGGACUAGGGUCCAUUUUAUGGUUAUUGGACCAUAGUAAUGAUUAAUAGGGACAGUUGGGGGCAUUAGUAUUUAAUUGUCAGAGUGAAAUUCUUGGAUUUAUU
rnacentral:rRNA from 1 species